GAAGGGACCUAGCGUAGUUCGGAAUUGCUGGGCUUAAAGAGUUCGUAGGUGGUUAAAAAAGUUGGUGGUGAAAUCCCAGAGCUUAACUCUGGAACUGCCAUCAAAACUUUUUAGCUAGAGUAUGAUAGAGGAAAGUAGAAUUUCUAGUGUAGAGGUGAAAUUCGUAGAUAUUAGAAAGAAUACCAAUUGCGAAGGCAGCUUUCUGGAUCAUUACUGACACUGAGGAACGAAAGCAUGGGUAGCGAAGAGGAUUAGAUACCCUCGUAGUCCAUGCCGUAAACGAUGUGUGUUAGAUGCUGGAAAUUUAUUUUCAGUAUCGCAGCGAAAGCAAUAAACACACCGCCUGGGGAGUACGACCGCAAGGUUAAAACUCAAAUGAAUUGACGGGGACCCGCACAAGUAGUGGAGCAUGUGGUUUAAUUCGAAGAUACGCGCAGAACCUUACCAACACUUGACAUGUUCGUUUCGACUCUAAGAGAUUAGAGUUUUCGGUUCGGCCGGACGAAACACAGGUGCUGCAUGGCUGUCGUCAGCUCGUGUCGUGAGAUGUUGGGUUAAGUCCCGCAACGAGCGCAACCCUUACUUUUAGUUGCCACCAUUUAGUUGGGCACUCUGAAAGAACUGCCAGUGAUAAGCUGGAGGAAGGUGGGGAUGACGUCAAGUCCUCAUGGCCCUUAUGUGUUGGGCUACACACGUGCUACAAUGGCAUUUACAAUAGGAAGCAAGAUGGCGACAUUAAGCAAAUCCUAAAAAAAUGCCUCAGUUCGGAUUGUACUCUGCAACUCGAGUACAUGAAGCUGGAAUUACUAGUAAUCGUGGAUCAGCGUGCCACGGUGAAUACGUUCCCGGGUCUU
rnacentral:rRNA from 1 species